GACGAACGCGGGCGGCGUGCUUAACACAUGCAAGUCGACGGGAUUUAGUGGACAGAAGCUUCGGUGGAAGAUUACUAAUGAGAGUGGCGAACGGGUGAGUAACGCGUGAGCAACCUGCCUAUGACAGUGGGAUAGCCUCGGGAAACCGGGAUUAAUACCGCAUAAAAUCGUAGAAACACAUGUUUUAACGGUCAAAGAUUUAUCGGUCAUAGAUGGGCUCGCGUCUGAUUAGCUAGUUGGUGAGAUAACAGCCCACCAAGGCGACGAUCAGUAGCCGGUCUGAGAGGAUGAACGGCCACAUUGGAACUGAGACACGGUCCAAACUCCUACGGGAGGUAGCAGUGGGGAAUAUUGCACAAUGGGGGAAACCCUGAUGCAGCGACGCCGCGUGAACGAAGAAGGUAUUCGUAUCGUAAAGUUCUGUCCUAUGGGAAGAUAAUGACAGUACCAUAGAAGAAAGCUCCGGCUAAAUACGUGCCAGCAGCCGCGGUAAUACGUAUGGAGCGAGCGUUGUCCGGAAUUAUUGGGCGUAAAGGGUACGCAGGCGGUUUAAUAAGUCGAAUGUUAAAGAUCGGGGCUCAACCCCGUAAAGCAUUGGAAACUGAUAAACUUGAGUAGUGGAGAGGAAAGUGGAAUUCCUAGUGUAGUGGUGAAAUACGUAGAUAUUAGGAGGAAUACCAGUAGCGAAGGCGACUUUCUGGACACAAACUGACGCUGAGGUACGAAAGCGUGGGGAGCAAACAGG
rnacentral:rRNA from 1 species